CCUACGGGCGGCAGCAGUGAGGAAUAUUGGUCAAUGGGCGAGAGCCUGAACCAGCCAAGUCGCGUGAGGGAAGACGGUCCUAUGGAUUGUAAACCUCUUUUGUCGGGGAGCAAAAAGGCCUCGUGAGGCCACAAGUGAGAGUACCCGAAGAAAAAGCAUCGGCUAACUCCGUGCCAGCAGCCGCGGUAAUACGUAGGUGGCAAGCGUUGUCCGGAUUUACUGGGUGUAAAGGGCGUGCAGCCGGAGAGACAAGUCAGAUGUGAAAUCCACAGGCUCAACCUGUGAACUGCAUUUGAAACUGUUUCCCUUGAGUAUCGGAGAGGUCAUCGGAAUUCCUAGUGUAGCGGUGAAAUGCGUAGAUAUUAGGAAGAACACCAGUGGCGAAGGCGGAUGACUGGACGACAACUGACGGUGAGGCGCGAAAGCGUGGGGAGCAAACAGGAUUAGAUACCCUAGUAGUC
rnacentral:rRNA from 1 species